GGAAAUAUAGUUAAUUAUAACAUUUGAUUUGCAUUCAAAAAGUAUUGAAUUUCAAUUAUUUUCA
rnacentral:tRNA from 2 species